rnacentral:tRNA from 1 species
UCCCUGAUAGCUCAGUUGGUAAAGAAUCUGCCUGCAAUUCAGAAGACCUGGGUUCGAUCCCUGGGUUGGGAA